UACGAAGGGGGCUAGCGUUGCUCGGAAUCACUGGGCGUAAAGCGCACGUAGGCGGCUUUCUAAGUCAGGGGUGAAAUCCUGGAGCUCAACUCCAGAACUGCCUUUGAUACUGGAGAGCUUGAGUCCGGAAGAGGUGAGUGGAACUCCGAGUGUAGAGGUGAAAUUCGUAGAUAUUCGGAAGAACACCAGUGGCGAAGGCGGCUCACUGGUCCGGUACUGACGCUGAGGCGCGAAAGCCAGGGGAGCGAACGGG
rnacentral:rRNA from 1 species